rnacentral:misc_RNA from 1 species
GAUGAAGAACGUAGCGAAAUGCGAUAAGUAAUGUGAAUUGCAGAAUUCAGUGAAUCAUCGAAUCUUUGAACGCACAUUGCGCCCGCCAGUAUUCUGGCGAGCAUGCCUGUUCGAGCGUCAUUUCAACCAUCAAGCCCCAGGCUUGUGUUGGAGCCCUGCGGCUGCCGCAGCCUCCCAAAACCAGUGGCGGGCUCGCUAUCACACCGAGUGCAGUAGUUUACUCUUCGCUCAGGGCGUGUGGCGGGUGCUAGCCGUGAAACCCCCAACUUCUCAAGGUUGACCUCGGAUCAGGUAGCAAUACCCGCUGAACUUAAGCAUAUCCAUAAGCGGAGGA